rnacentral:lncRNA from 1 species
CAAACAAAAAGAUUGAAAAGCUCUGGACUAGAUAAAUGCUCUCCAAGAUUUCUUCCAGCUCCGGAAUUCUCUGACUCUGUGGGAAACGCACCCUAUCCCCCUGCUCCCAGCAGCUGCGGCUCUGGCAGAAAGACAAGGAAGUUCGUUCUUGGAGCCUCUCCAGGCCUUUCCUGCUGCACUUGGAGUCCUUGUCCCGAGGGGAGGCAGGGACAGAUAAAGCGCCAGUGUGCAGAGUUCUGGGGGAGGGGGAGGAAGACAGGUGCCCUGAAGAUGUGAGCUUUGGGAGAAAGGAAAGAGAAGCGGAUAGAACCAAAGGCCCCAGUUCCUGUCUCUCACCCCUCACUCCACCACCAGGAUAACUGGUCCCGCCUCCUCGGCAGCACUUAGGACAUUCCCACACAGGGCUGGUCACGGUGCCGCCUCACAGCUCCCUGGUGCAUUGUCUUCGCUGCACUACCCCGAUUUGAAAGUAUAUUGUUCAUUUGCGUGUUUAUUAGCCUACUAGAAUGCAAGUUCCACGAGGGCGGUGCCUUGCCUCUCUUCCUCACCCCUAUAUCCCCGGACACAGGACUCAGCACAAGGUGGGAACUCAAUAAUUGCUUUCAUGCGUAACCUCUACCUCCAAGCAGCGAUAAAGCUCCAAGCACAGAGCCCAUGAAUGAAUGGUAGUCACCUCAGAAGAAACCAGCAGAGUAGACCCAGCGAAACCUUGGAAAUCAAGCAGAACUCGGUCCCAGCUCCCCGCUCGCUUGUGGCUUCAGUCAAGAUUUUCUUUAACCUCUCUGGAGCUGUUUUCUUCCUCUGUAAAACAGGGAACAGGGAACCUAAUCUCUACUUAAAGGCAUGCUAUAGAAGUUAUGGCACACAGCAGCUGGACAGCAAAUCAUCUUUAUCAUGGAAUCAGAGCAAAGGUGGUGAAACAAAGUGUCACAGGGGAGAUUCCCACCGACCACCCAACCCCCCAGGACCUGGGAAAGCCCAAUGAACAAGUUCAUUUCGCUAGUGGCCUCCAUCUCCUCCCUCCACACACAAGAAAUGACCCAGUCUCCCUUGAACCAAACCUUCUUUUGUUGUCCCAUUAUUUCAGGCAAUCCAGAUCUUCUGGGAAAGGCUUAAUUGCAAGCAACCAAUCAGAUCAUCUUCUGUAACACAGGCAUUUAUGUUUGCUCUGAAUUUAUAUUUUCGUCCACCUAAAAGGUCAUUCUUUUCAAUAAAGAUAAUUUAUUAAAUCUACUGGGAAGUGGGGCUGAAUUUUAAUACUUUGUGAGCCUUUGCAUUUACGUAAAUUCAUGAAUCAGGGCAAUAAUCGUCCUUAUGCUGUUUGGCCUAGUUGUGAUUCAGAAAACAUGAGACCCCUCUCUGGCCCUGCACACACACAUAAGGGAUUGAACACAUAUGUUUCAUGCU